rnacentral:rRNA from 1 species
UACAGAGGGGGCAAGCGUUGUCCGGAAUUAUUGGGCGUAAAGGGCUCGUAGGCGGCCAACUAAGUCAGACGUGAAAUCCCUCGGCUUAACCGGGGAACUGCAUCUGAUACUGGAUGGCUUGAGUUCGGGAGAGGGAGUGCGGAAUUCCAGGUGUAGCGGUGAAAUGCGUAGAUAUCUGGAGAACACCGGUGGCGAAGGCGGCAUCCUGGACCGACACUGACGCUGAGGAGCGAAAGCCAGGGGAGCAAAGCGGG